GACGGUCUUGCUGUCACUUAUAGAUGGAUCCGCGCUGCAUUAGCUAGUUGGUAAGGUAACGGCUUACCAAGGCAACGAUGCAUAGCCGACCUGAGAGGGUGAUCGGCCACACUGGAACUGAGACACGGUCCAGACUCCUACGGGAGGCAGCAGUAGGGAAUCUUCCGCAAUGGGCGAAAGCCUGACGGAGCAACGCCGCGUGAGUGAUGAAGGUCUUCGGAUCGUAAAACUCUGUUAUUAGGGAAGAACAUAUGUGUAAGUAACUGUGCACAUCUUGACGGUACCUAAUCAGAAAGCCACGGCUAACUACGUGCCAGCAGCCGCGGUAAUACGUAGGUGGCAAGCGUUAUCCGGAAUUAUUGGGCGUAAAGCGCGCGUAGGCGGUUUUUUAAGUCUGAUGUGAAAGCCCACGGCUCAACCGUGGAGGGUCAUUGGAAACUGGAAAACUUGAGUGCAGAAGAGGAAAGUGGAAUUCCAUGUGUAGCGGUGAAAUGCGCAGAGAUAUGGAGGAACACCAGUGGCGAAGGCGACUUUCUGGUCUGUAACUGACGCUGAUGUGCGAAAGCGUGGGGAUCAAACAGGAUUAGAUACCCUGGUAGUCCACGCCGUAAACGAUGAG
rnacentral:rRNA from 1 species